rnacentral:rRNA from 1 species
GAAGCGUCUGGAAAGGCGCGCGAUACAGGGUGACAGCCCCGUACACAAAAAUGCACAUAUUGUGAGCUCGAUGAGUAGGGCGGGACACGUGGUAUCCUGUCUGAAUAUGGGGGGCCCAUCCUCCAAGGCUAAAUACUCCUGACUGACCGAUAGUGAACCAGUACCGUGAGGGAAAGGCGAAAAGAACCCCGGCGAGGGGAGUGAAAAAGAACCUGAAACCGUGUACGUACAAGCAGUGGGAGCACGCUUAGGCGUGUGACUGCGUACCUUUUGUAUAAUGGGUCAGCGACUUAUAUUCUGUAGCAAGGUUAACCGAAUAGGGGAGCCGAAGGGAAACCGAGUCUUAACUGGGCGUUAAGUUGCAGGGUAUAGACCCGAAACCCGGUGAUCUAGCCAUGGGCAGGUUGAAGGUUGGGUAACACUAACUGGAGGACCGAACCGACUAAUGUUGAAAAAUUAGCGGAUGACUUGUGGCUGGGGGUGAAAGGCCAAUCAAACCGGGAGAUAGCUGGUUCUCCCCGAAAGCUAUUUAGGUAGCGCCUCGUGAAUUCAUCUCCGGGGGUAG